rnacentral:lncRNA from 1 species
UAAAGUGUACUUUCAGUUGAUCAGAUUUUCAUCAAAGCUGUUCUUUUUGCUUAAAUAAAUAUACUGUGACAUUAACUAAAAAUGAAUCCUUUUCACAGGCCAGACAAGAAACAUCUGUGUAACAAAGCCAGCGUUGUUAAGAAGAAUGGAAAAGCCCCCACUGCAGCUGGUAUUCCCCCACCGAUACCCAUGUCGCCCAUUGUUGAAAAGAUGGAGGGUUUGAAGACCAUCCGUAACCGCGGCAACAGCCUCCGUCUUGGUCGCCUGGCCCUCUACAAGCACCUUGAAAAAGUGGAGACUAUGCGAUCUUUCUGGGAGCUCAAACAUGUGGAGCUGGAAGGAGAAAACCAGGUCCCGUGGUGGGAGGUAGAGAGCAUGCCGGCUGCAGAGUGAAUGGAUGGCUGAGUGGGUGGUUGACUUGACGGCAAAGAACCCUGUCCUUUCCCAAGUCUGUAGAGAGGAAAAGACUGGUCAUUCAUUGCUCUGUAAACCAAGCGUCACCAUUAUAUGUAUAUAUAUAUAUUUAAAACCUAGAAUCUUCUGUUCUACUGUCUGCCAUCAAAGAUCAUCCUACUGAAGGUAGCAAAGAGCUUAGACGGACAUCCAGAGCAGAGAGACAGGAAGAGGAAGCCUUCCAUCAUGGAGAACUUCCUGAAGGAUAAAGACCUCUGGAUAUUAGGAAGUGUCUGCUUGGUGGCCACCUUUCUGUGGCGACGGCUGUGGAAAUUAUUCUCCGUAAAGAAGGAGAAAAAGACCUCAUCCCAUGCAGACGCACAGGUAAUGUGGCAGAGAUGAGCUUGUGUGGACGAUUUACCUGCAUGGAAUUGGGCAAACCUUGCCAGAGUUGAUUCAUAAGAGUAAAAGUAUGAUAUAAUUUAUUUGGUGGAUUGGGAUAGAGAUGAGGAGGGAUUAGGUCGGAUUAAUUUGGGAUUAAAAAAAAUGCGUAUCAUGCUAACUGAUUCCCAAGAGGCUUUUAGAUAAGUCUUUAUAUGGGUUUGAUAGAUGAAUAAUCAAAUGUUAUUGGUUAUUACUGGUAGAAAAAAAAAAGUUUAUGACAAUAAUCCCUUAUCAAUUUGAUUCCAGAAUCUCUGAGUAAAUGAUGUUUGAAUCUGAAUCCAAUUACUUAAGAAAUGUUAAACUUUUAUAACUUUUCUUUAAAUCUAGGAAGGUGUGUAAGGAAAUUAAAUCUUGAAAAAAAUGUAAAUUUUUAACAGUUUUAAGUACAGAUAUAGGGCACUUCUAUUGAAUGC